UGAAAUCAUUUAAUAUAUUGCUUAAUGUUUGAAUUCAAAUUCAAACAACAAACAAUGUCGCCAUGUGUCAAGCAAUGGCUCCAUGCGCCAUGCAAAAAUUUUGGUUUAUUUAAAAUUCAUGAAAUCCAAUUCCAUGUCCCCACUAAUUGCCACAUCAUCUGAGCCUAAUCCCCUUGGGUUGCACCUAAUCAAAUUUGGUCAA
rnacentral:lncRNA from 1 species